rnacentral:lncRNA from 1 species
AAACAAAGUCCUUUUAGUAUGGAUAAUAGUUAAUAAUCACAUAAUAAAAUCCCUCCAUAAAUAGCAAUGUCCCUAAUCCAACCCAAACUUUGUACAGACACUCAGCCACUGUUCCCCCUUCCCCUGUCUUCCUCAUGUGCCUCUCGCCGUUCUCUCCGUUCCCGUGUUUCCGAUCUCAAAUCCUCCAUAUAAAUACCCAAAUUCCCACACCCACUUCUUAAUUAAUCAAACCCAUUAACUCAAAUUUCCCUUUUACAAACAUGUCCAACCCACCUUCUUCUUCAUCCUCCUCUUCCUCCACCUGCUCAUCACUUCCCUAUGAUUACAUGACAAAAAUCUUAGGUACUAGAUCUUUGUUGAUGGUGACAAAACAUGGACAUAUAUCUUUGGUGGUGUCUUCACUCAAGAGAUAACUAAGUUUCUUUCUUGGAAGCCAUAGGUUAUUAAAAUCAUUAGUUAUUAACCUUAAUUAGACUAAUCUCUCGUUUAAAUGGCAGGUGAUGGUGAUUAAGUGACAUAUCACAUGUUCCAUUGCACUUAAUUAGUUCUCAUAUGGCCUAGCUAGUCUAAGCAAAUUGUUAUAGUCUAAAUCUUAUAUAGACGACAUGUAGGGUAUGGCGCGGGAAGUUUAAGAGUGAUCGUAUCCUUAAUUAGUGGACGGGUAAAAUGAUAGACUGGUUAUUCGAUUAAAUAACCUGCUCAUCACUUCCCUACACCAAGCUCCAGUUCUUUGCCCGAAUCCGCCGCUUCCUCCGACCCAAGGCGGGGAAGCCGAAACCCAUCACGCCACCACCUAGUAGAGAAACGGAGUGUAGUAGUAGUAGUAGUAGUAAUGUUUCAGAAAUUUUGAUAACAGAGUCGCCGGAACCAAAGGAUGAGUCGCCGGCGGCGGCAGCGGAGGGGUUGCGGAGAUCGGUGAAGAAGCUUAAUUUCGGGAAGAGCUGGGAAGAGAAGGAAUCGGCGGGUGUUGAUAUUGCUAGGUUUGCUAAGGAGGAUGUGAAGACGAGGAAACUGAUCGCCGAGCUUGGAGUUAUCCCGGUAUUGGUUGAUAUGG